CUGUAUCAGUUUUUGAAUAACUGUCAAGAACUGCAGUAUUCAACAGUGUAUCGCUUGAAACAGGCAUCUUGUCUUGGUGUCUGCCAUACCCAGAUCUUCUCAACU